GAGCGGCGGACGGGUGAGUAACGCGUGGGUAACCUGCCCUGUACACACGGAUAACAUACCGAAAGGUAUGCUAAUACGGGAUAACAUAAGAAAUUUGCAUGUUUUUCUUAUCAAAGCUCCGGCGGUACAGGAUGGACCCGCGUCUGAUUAGCUAGUUGGUGAGGUAACGGCUCACCAAGGCGACGAUCAGUAGCCGACCUGAGAGGGUGAUCGGCCACAUUGGAACUGAGACACGGUCCAAACUCCUACGGGAGGCAGCAGUGAGGAAUAUUGGUCAAUGGGCGCAGGCCUGAACCAGCCAAGUCGCGUGAGGGAAGACGGUCCUACGGAUUGUAAACCUCUUUUGUCGGGGAGUAACGUGCGGGACGCGUCCCGUAUUGAGAGUACCCGAAGAAAAAGCAUCGGCUAACUCCGUGCCAGCAGCCGCGGUAAUACGGAGGAUGCGAGCGUUAUCCGGAUUUAUUGGGUUUAAAGGGUGCGCAGGCGGCGCGCCAAGUCAGCGGUCAAAGUUCCGGGCUCAACCCGGUGUCGCCGUUGAAACUGGCGUGCUCGAGUGCGUGCGAGGAAGGCGGAAUGCGUUGUGUAGCGGUGAAAUGCAUAGAUAUGACGCAGAACUCCGAUUGCGAAGGCAGCUUUCCAGCGCGCUACUGACGCUGAGGCACGAAAGCGUGGGGAUCGAACAGGAUUAGAUACCCUGGUAGUCCACGCAGUAAACGAUGACUACUAGCUUUCCGGGGCGACUGGGUCCUGGGAGGCACAGCGAAAGCGUUAAGUAGUCCACCUGGGGAGUACGCCGGCAACGGUGAAACUCAAAGGAAUUGACGGGGGCCCGCACAAGCGGAGGAACAUGUGGUUUAAUUCGAUGAUACGCGAGGAACCUUACCCGGGCUCAAACGACAGCGGACAGCUCCUGAAAGGGAGUCUCCGGCAACGGCCGCUGUCGAGAUGCUGCAUGGUUGUCGUCAGCUCGUGCCGUGAGGUGUCGGUUUAAGUGCCAUAACGAGCGCAACCCCCAUCUCCAGUUGCCACCGGGUCGUGCCGGGCACUCUGGAGGGACUGCCAGCGCAAGCUGCGAGGAAGGCGGGGAUGACGUCAAAUCAGCACGGCUCUUACGUCCGGGGCGACACACGUGUUACAAUGGCGGAGAACAGAGGGGAGCCACGUGGCGACACGGAGCCGAUCCCGAAAAUCCGUCUCAGUUCGGAUUGGAGUCUGCAACCCGACUCCAUGAAGCUGGAUUCGCUAGUAAUCGCGCAUCAGCCAUGGCGCGGUGAAUACGUUCCCGGGCCUUGCACUCACCGCCCGUCAAG
rnacentral:rRNA from 1 species